rnacentral:rRNA from 1 species
AUUGAACGCUGGCGGCAUGCCUUACACAUGCAAGUCGAACGGCAGCACGGGUGCUUGCUCCUGGUGGCGAGUGGCGAACGGGUGAGUAAUACAUCGGCACCUGUCCUGUCGUGGGGGAUAGCCCGGCGAAAGCCGGAUUAAUACCGCAUACGAUCCACGGAUGAAAGCGGGGGCCCUUCGGGCCUCGCGCUAUAGGGUUGGCCGAUGGCUGAUUAGCUAGUUGGUGGGGUAAAGGCCUACCAAGGCGACGAUCAGUAGCUGGUCUGAGAGGACGACCAGCCACACUGGGACUGAGACACGGCCCAGACUCCUACGGGAGGCAGCAGUGGGGAAUUUUGGACAAUGGGCGAAAGCCUGAUCCAGCAAUGCCGCGUGUGUGAAGAAGGCCUUCGGGUUGUAAAGUACUUUUGUCCGGAAAGAAAUCCUUGACUCUAAUACAGUCGGGGGAUGACGGUACCGGAAGAAUAAGCACCGGCUAACUACGUG